GUCGCGCCAUUAUGCCGGCAUGGCAUUUCGCCGGCAGCAGGGGCUAACCGUGCCAUGGUUGUGGGGGUUAGUUCGUGCCAUGCAGCGGGAUGAGGCUGUCGCCCGGCUAUAAGGGCGCAGCGCCGGCCUGUACCGGCGCUGCUUUCUCGUCACUCCCAACUGUGCAUAGGUUUACUCUUAUGUGCACCAACAACGGAUCGACGUCUGUAACGAACUCUGGUGGACAGCGCACUGGGUUCCGGAAGUCAUCUGUUGGGGCGUCUUCGGGUUGCAGCCAAGUCUAGGCGCGCAGGCGCAUAGCAACGUCACUCUAGCCUAGCAACCACGCAUCACCGUCAGCUGAGCUGCCAAACGGACUAGUUAGGCGAGGAGACAGCCGCCGGCUCCGCAAGCCUCGGAUACCGGUUAUCGAGCGCGCUGCACGGGCAGCCUGCGGAGGCGCCGGUCGGCCUAUCCUGCAGCCACCAAGUAACGAGAAGGUGUGACCGGUGGCGGCGCCGUGCAAAGCCGGCAGAAUGACACGACAAUACGAGCGCUGCGCACGAAGCGCCUGGUGCCUCGGGGCCCCAAGCAUGUCCUGCCUCCAACAUUUGCCUAACCGUGCUGGAGUUGGCACCUGGUCGUGUGCUGCUUGUGUGGUGCGACCUGAUCGGGUUGGCCUGUGACUCUGACAGCUGGGAUCGUAACUGGCUGGCGCGGCUUGGGCCUCCCUCCGACACGGCCACUGUGCUGGGGCAUCUAACAUGUCUGUCGUGCACUCAAACUACCGACGUGAUGGCGCAGCUGUAUUCUUCAGCUGUAGCAUUGUGCAUAUGGUCGGCAAUGUCGUCUGCGUGCUAUAAAUGCGGAUGUAACAGAGGGGACA
rnacentral:lncRNA from 1 species